GUGAACGGAGGUCGUAGACUCGUAGGUGGUGGGGGAGGAAUGCAGUGCAAACAGUGUCUAGAAAGUUAUACUGUGUGCAGCCAGCUCCCAGCAUGGUACUGGGCUAAGCAUAAGGAGGCACAAGCCAGACCAAGCCAGGGGUGAGGGGUGCUGAACAUUCAGCUUGUGGAGCUGAAUAGGCUGAGCUGCAGUUUACAGAGGGACAUGUAGUAAUGGCUAGCACUAGCAGCAACAGCAGAUGUGAUCCUGUUCCCUCUCUCUCUCCCUGGCCACAUUACACUCACUGUAGUCUGCACAUCCAGCAGUAUGUACUCCCUGCCCUGCUUCACGUAGACAGCUGAGGUGAUCGUGGCUCAUCACUUUGAGGACUUGCCGAAAUGUCCAGAGGUGGCUGGGGCAACACUGCGGAGAUGUGCCGCCUGGGUGGUGAAGAUGGAGCCGCAGACUCAGACUCCACACGACGUGACUUACUGGGCCUCCUAGGCAAACUCACAGAGCCCUGUGAUGGCCGCCUUAGAGGAGGGCGGCUUGCAGAAGAAGAACCUAUGUGAAAAGAAAAACAUUAUUAUUUUUUUGCUUCUAUGUGUUUGCCGAAUAUGUGAAUACAGUGAAUUCUUACCUGCAUUCCCACCAUCAUCAUCAGUUGGCUGUGGCCUGUCUGUGGUUCUUCUCUGGCGUACUGUUGAUACAUUUGAAAAAACAUUAUGACCAUACUUUAAAUACUCCUUGUUAUCUGAACUUCCUUAUUGUGAUGUAAACAUCUGGAACCUAAUGUUAAGUAAACUAUUUUUUGUUUAAGCUA